GAUGAACGCUGGCGGCGUGCCUAAUACAUGCAAGUCGAGCGAACGGACGAGAAGCUUGCUUCUCUGAUGUUAGCGGCGGACGGGUGAGUAACACGUGGAUAACCUACCUAUAAGACUGGGAUAACUUCGGGAAACCGGAGCUAAUACCGGAUAAUAUUUUGAACCGCAUGGUUCAAAAGUGAAAGACGGUCUUGCUGUCACUUAUAGAUGGAUCCGCGCUGCAUUAGCUAGUUGGUAAGGUAACGGCUUACCAAGGCAACGAUGCAUAGCCGACCUGAGAGGGUGUUCGGCCACACGGGAACUGAGACACGGUCCAGACUCCUACGGGAGGCAGCAGUAGGGAAUCUUCCGCAAUGGGCGAAAGCCUGACGGAGCAACGCCGCGUGAGUGAUGAAGGUCUUCGGAUCGUAAAACUCUGUUAUUAGGGAAGAACAUAUGUGUAAGUAACUGUGCACAUCUUGACGGUGCCUAAUCAGAAAGCCACGGCUAACUACGUG
rnacentral:rRNA from 1 species